rnacentral:rRNA from 1 species
UUGGAGGGCAAGUCUGGUGCCAGCAGCCGCGGUAAUUCCAGCUCCAAUAGCGUAUAUUAAAGUUGCUGCAGUUAAAAAGCUCGUAGUUGAAUUUCGGGACCAUCAUGUCGGUCGUGCCUCGGUACGUACUGGUAUUGUUGGUUUCUCCCUUCUGACGAACCAUGAUGUCAUUUAUUUGGUGUUGUGGGGAAUCAGGACUGUUACUUUGAAAAAAUUAGAGUGUUUAAAGCAGGCUCACGCUUGAAUACAUUAGCAUGGAAUAAUGAAAUAGGACGUUUGAUUCUAUUUUGUUGGUUUCUAGGAUCGACGUAAUGAUUAAUAGGGAUAGUUGGGGGCAUUAGUAUUCAAUUGUCAGAGGUGAAAUUCUUGGAUUUAUUGAAGACUAACUACUGCGAAAGCAUUUGCCAAGGAUGUUUUCAUUAAUCAAGAACGAAAGUUAGGGGAUCGAAGACGAUCAGAUACCGUCGUAGUCUUAACCAUAAACUAUGCCGACUAGGGAUCGGAUGAUGUUAAUUUUUUAAUGACUCAUUCGGCGCCUUACGAGAAAC